UACGUAGGUGGCAAGCGUUGUCCGGAUUUACUGGGCGUAAAGAGCGCGCAGGCGGUCGUUCAAGUCGCGUGUGAAAGCCUCCGGCUCAACUGGGGAGGGUCACGCGAUACUGAUCGACUCGAAGGCAGGAGAGGGAAGUGGAAUUCCCGGUGUAGUGGUGAAAUGCGUAGAUAUCGGGAGGAACACCAGUGGCGAAGGCGGCUUCCUGGCCUGUUCUUGACGCUGAGGCACGAAAGCGAGGGGAGCAAACGGG
rnacentral:rRNA from 1 species